rnacentral:rRNA from 1 species
GCCUUCCCGGUGAGUCUGCGGGCUUAAACGGACGCGGUAAAGCGUGCUAAGGUAGCUAAAUUAUGGCCUAUUAAUUGUAGGUCCUGUGAAUGGUUUGACGAGUCUUCAACUGUCUCUAGUUUUUUUGGUGAACUUGAAUUGGAUGUGCAAAUGCUUCCAUGGGUAAGAAAGACGAGAAGACCCCGUGAAGUUAGAAAUUUUGGUUGUUGGUGAGCUUUUGGGGUGUAGGUUAAGCCACUUUAAGUGGUUUAAAGAAAAGUGAACAGCGAUAGUUUUGGCUGGGGCAGCAAAGAAGCAAGGCUAGACUUCUUUAGUUUAAAGACAGGUGUGUGACGACCCACAAGUUUGUUGGUGUGAUUAGCAGAAGAAGUUACUCCGGGGAUAACA